rnacentral:lncRNA from 1 species
CAGUGGCUUACUCUGCUGCCAUGGCUUCUUCUUCAAAUCAACCUUCACCACCAAUCUUGGACUUGACGGAGCCAUCAAAGCCUAAAACACAAUAAUUAAGUACAGUGAUCUAUGUAAACUAUGUUCUCUCUCUCUGUUCACACUUCCUCAGUAGUUCCUCUAUAUUCUCAACUUAAUCUUCUUCUUUUUUUUUUUUGUUUUUCUUGUCCUUUGUUACAGGGAAAAGAGGGAUCAUUGGUUUUUGCAGAUACCUUAUCUAUCCACAACUAAAAAAAACAUUAAAACAAAAAAAUUGUAUCUUUCACGGUUUCACCAUCACGCAAGACUUCUCUCUAUCUAAAGCGGUGACUUUGUUUUUAUCGUAACCAAGUGGAUAGUAUCGUAGGAUACAUGUGUCUCUCUGUCUCUGUAUCGUAGGGAGAACAGAAACUUGAAAAUGACAUCAUAAGUUAACUUAUGUUAUGAUCUAUGUUAUUUGAAGUUACAUAUAUUAUUA